rnacentral:rRNA from 1 species
UACGGAGGGUGCAAGCGUUGCUCGGAAUUAUUGGGCGUAAAGAGCUCGUAGGCGGUUUGUUGCGUCUAUCGUGAAAACCUGCAGCUUAACUGUGGGCUUGCUGUGGAUACGGGCAGACUUGAGUUCGGUAGGGGAGACUGGAAUUCCUGGUGUAGCGGUGAAAUGCGCAGAUAUCAGGAGGAACACCGGUGGCGAAGGCGGGUCUCUGGGCCGAUACUGACGCUGAGGAGCGAAAGCGUGGGGAGCGAACAGG